GACGGAGGGCGCAAGCGUUGUUCGGAAUUACUGGGCGUAAAGGGCACGUAGGCGGACUGUUAAGUCGGAGGUGAAAUCCUGGGGCUCAACCUCAGAAUAGCCUUCGAUACUGGCGGUCUCGAGUGCGGGAGAGGUGAGUGGAAUUCCCAGUGUAGAGGUGAAAUUCGUAGAUAUUGGGAAGAACACCAGUGGCGAAGGCGGCUCACUGGCCCGCAACUGACGCUGAGGUGCGAAAGCGUGGGGAGCAAACAGG
rnacentral:misc_RNA from 1 species